rnacentral:rRNA from 1 species
GACGAACGCUGGCGGCGUGCUUAACACAUGCAAGUCGAACGGAAAGGCCCUGCUUGCAGGGUACUCGAGUGGCGAACGGGUGAGUAACACGUGGGUGAUCUGCCCUGCACUUCGGGAUAAGCUUGGGAAACUGGGUCUAAUACCGGAUAGGAGCCAUCUUUAGUGUGGUGGUUGGAAAGUUUUUUCGGUGUAGGAUGAGCUCGCGGCCUAUCAGCUUGUUGGUGGGGUAAUGGCCUACCAAGGCGGCGACGGGUAGCCGGCCUGAGAGGGUGUACGGCCACAUUGGGACUCAGAGACGGCCCAGACUCCGACAGGAGGCAGCAGUGGGGAAUAUUGCACAAUGGGCGCAAGCCUGAUGCAGCAACGCCGCGUGGGGGAUGAAGGCCUUCGGGUUGUAAACUCCUUUCGCUAGGGACGAAGCUUUGUUGUGACGGUACCUAGAUAAGAAGCACCGGCUAACUACGUG